rnacentral:rRNA from 1 species
CUACGGUGAAUACGUUCCCGGACCUUGUACACACCGCCCGUCAAGUCAUGGAAGCUGGGUGUACCUAAAGUCGAUAACCGUAAGGAGUCGCCUAGGGUAAAACUAGUAACUGGGGCU